rnacentral:rRNA from 1 species
GACGAACGCUGGCGGCGUGCUUAACACAUGCAAGUCGAACGGAAAGGCCCUGCUUUUGUGGGGUGCUCGAGUGGCGAACGGGUGAGUAACACGGGAGUAACCUGCCCUUGACUUUGGGAUAACUUCAGGAAACUGGGGCUAAUACCGGAUAGGAGCUCCUGCUGCGUGGUGGGGGUUGGAAAGUUUCGGCGGUUGGGGAUGGACUCGCGGCUUAUCAGCUUGUUGGUGGGGUAGUGGCUUACCAAGGCUUUGACGGGUAGCCGGCCUGAGAGGGUGACCGGCCACAUUGGGACUGAGAUACGGCCCAGACUCCUACGGGAGGCAGCAGUGGGGAAUAUUGCACAAUGGGCGGAAGCCUGAUGCAGCAACGCCGCGUGCGGGAUGACGGCCUUCGGGUUGUAAACCGCUUUCGCCUGUGACGAAGCGUGAGUGACGGUAAUGGGUAAAGAAGCACCGGCUAACUACGUG